UCCGUCCUCACAGUGACUCACAGACAAGGAUGCCAAGGCCUGGAAGAUGAGGCAUGGCUGUGAGAGGAGCUCACACUCCCCUGGCCUGCGAGAGCUCUGGCCCCGGCCAGCCCGUGUGCUGAUCGUAUUAGACGGAGUCUCCAGAGAAACAGGAGCAAUCAGAGAUGCAGAUACUCCGGGAGGCUCCCUCGGGUGACUUGGAUCUCCAUGUCGCUGGCUGCUCUGCUGAUCGGAGGCUUCGCAGGUCUCACCUCGACGGUGAUUUGCAGGUG
rnacentral:misc_RNA from 1 species